rnacentral:rRNA from 1 species
GUGGGGAAUAUUGGACAAUGGGCGAAAGCCUGAUCCAGCAAUGCCGCGUGAGUGAUGAAGGCCUUAGGGUUGUAAAGCUCUUUUACCAGGGAUGAUAAUGACAGUACCUGGAGAAUAAGCUCCGGCUAACUCCGUGCCAGCAGCCGCGGUAAUACGGAGGGAGCUAGCGUUGUUCGGAAUUACUGGGCGUAAAGCGCGCGUAGGCGGCUACUCAAGUCAGAGGUGAAAGCCCGGGGCUCAACCCCGGAACUGCCGUUGAAACUAGGUAGCUAGAAUCUUGGAGAGGUCAGUGGAAUUCCGAGUGUAGAGGUGAAAUUCGUAGAUAUUCGGAAGAACACCAGUGGCGAAGGCGACUGACUGGACAAGUAUUGACGCUGAGGUGCGAAAGCGUGGGGAGCAAACAGGAUUAGAAACCCGUGUAGUCC